UUCAAUAACUUUUUAUGCUUUUUAUGUACCUGAUCAACUAACAUCGUUCUUUUUCCCAAUGAAUGUUCUGGUACAAGCACCACUCCUUCCUGUUCGCGAGCGUGAAAGUAGAUUGUUGUCUCGAUAUGCUCCAUACACGAAGAGCGUCCCAGAAAAUCCUCGGAACACAUCGGAAUAAACCAACACUAAACCUGCGAGGAUUUUUAUCAGCCACAAUUCCAUAACAUUUACAUUCAGAGAUGGCAGCAUAACCCUGAGAGAAAGUAUCAAUUUUGACUCAAUAAAACAUGCAGAAUGGAAACAUAACACCUACACGGAAAAAAAUUGCAUGGGUUUUUCAAAUACAGGAUCAUGAUAAUUUUACUAUGUCCACGAUCUAGUAUUUUCUACCACGAUUUAGUAUUUUGUACCAGAAAUCUGGGCUAAAGUACUACGACAUAGUAUUUUUACUAUGCGAACUUUGACAGCUCAUAGUAAUUUCCUCGUGUCUAAAUUACCAUGCGCAUGAUAUUCUGAUAUUGUACGAUUCGUGCUCCCGAAAUUACUAUACCCAUGGUAAUGUUGACAUAUCUUCUUUUGUGUUGUCGAAAAAACUAUGCUCAUGAUAAAAACCUUCUGCGCAAAGUAUUCUUAUGAUUGUUUUAUUCAUUUCACUCUUGGAUCCAUAGUACUUUUACUAUGUGCUUCUUUUGAGUGUAUUUUAUUUUGUUUUCGCUGUCAUCCCGUCGCGAAAUCGAAAACGUUAAAUUAAAAUUCUGCCAGAAAUCGUCGAAAAAGUGGCCAAUAUGAAAUCUUCCGUUGCGGAUUCAAUUGUAAACUUUUCGGUAAACUAUCAGAUUGGAUUGUGUUAUUUACUUGGGCAAUGCUUUCGAGAAUCGACCAACCGGCUGUCCUUUCUGGAAAAGUUUAUAGAACAUUUCCGAAUCGACGAACAGGAAGCUGCUAUACAGACAGCACAUUAGUCUGACCGGAAAAUGUAUUUCUCAAGUGAGUAAGAUUGUGUCCUUUUUAUUUCGCCUGUAACUUAUUUAUUUAAUUUACCAAUCCUAUUUGUUUUAGUGGCGGUGAAUGGUGUUUUCGUCUACAAAGCUCGAGUUCCCCCCCGCUCCCUGGAAACCUGCACAAUUGACCAACAUCGAAGGACAUUGGAACAUCAAACUGGAUGUGGGACGAAAUAUGCCGUUUUUUAACUAACCCGCACUGAAAGCGGGGUGCAGUAUCAAGUGGAAUCAUUCGGGCUGAAAAAUGCAUUCCUUCAGAAUGCUGUUUUCGUUUUUGGAGCCCGAGUGGGCACAAUUGGCCAGCGUCGGAGAACAUUCGAUCGUUUUAGCCUCUUCAUACCGUAUAGCAGCUGGGGCGAAAGAUGCUUUUUCAACUAAUUAAGAAAAGGAAUGCAGAAUCAGCACAUCGAUUGGCCCUGAAAAUGUAGUCUAUCAGGUUAUAAUUCUCCACUUCCCGUAUCGAUGGCCUCAAAAGUUCUUCCAAAACAUCCCGAAACGGCAUGGAAAAAAAGAUUUAUCGAUAUAAGCAGUAUUCCGAUUAAUCAUCAAGCUGCAAUUACAUCCGGCGUACUGUGAUCCGUAUUAAGUGACACCAUGAUAAAAUAAAGAAGUAACA